ACUCCAGCAUCACCUCCUCCUCCAGCUUUGUCGCGGAGGUCGGCGAGGACGGGAUCGGUCGAUGCGGCAUCAAGGCCUUCAGGGUGACAACGACAACGCGAUAGACCUUUGGUCUCUGUACCGAUGGGACCAGGUCUCCCUUUCGUCGCCACCGAGUCUCACUGCCUCCGCCGUCCCCGGAGUUCGAUCUGGACCUUCUCCUCGACCCAGGGUCUCACACGGUUUAGCCCCUGAUGCAUAUUGAAGCAACGCAUUCAACGUAAGUGUGAGAUAGAGAGAUGGACACCAGUUGACUUUAUUAGAUGAUUUCCAAAUGAUGUUGGUCUAUUGUGAAUUUUGAUUUUGUUGUCGCCAAAAGAGCAUGGAGCCAAAUUUGUGAAGAAAGCCAAAUGCUCUCCAUAAGAGCUGGUUAUAUAUCAA